CUCUCGUUACCCCAAGACUAGCCCCCAGUUCCCGGCGUGCCCCGCGCGCGCCCCUGUCACCCAAUGUAUCCAGGUACUGCGAGCUUCCAGCCCGAGGUGGAGCAGGGAGCGGGUGGAAGAUUUCUUUUUGGUGCUGGGUAUGGAAUCCAGGGUUCACUCAUUCUAGGCAAGUACUCCAACACCCUAGCCCCUCAGAAAUGCUAUGUAAUAAAAUCAUGUUAGUGUUUUGUUCUUCCAUCAUAGAGUAUAGUGCUAUGGAUUCAACCAUGUUGUAUGUAGUAAUUUUUUGCUGCUGAAAAAUAUAUACACAUAUAGGAUUUGUUUCUUUAAGAGUUGGUAGACAUUUUCUCCAGCUUUUACUUGGGAAUAGAUUUGGUGGGUCAUGUGGUAGAUGUAUUUUUAAUUUUAUAAGAAAUUCUUACAUUACUUAAAUAGUACAAGUUUUGCAUUCCUACCACUCACGUAUCAAAGUUUCCACUACUUUACAUAGUCACUAGGACGUAGUAUCAAGAAUUUUGUCUUUAAAAUAAUAUUAGAAAAUCUAAUAGUUGUUUAUUAGUAUCUCAUAAUGCUUUUUCUUUUUCUUUCUUUCUUUUUUUUUUUUUUUUUUUUUUGUACUGGGGAUUGAAUUUACAAUAUCACACUUGCCAGGCAGGUGUUUGUACAACUGAGCUAUAUCCCUAUCCCCAAUUUUCAUUUCUUUAGUGACUGAUUGUGGUAAACAUUUUUUGAUAUGCUUAUUUGUAUUUCAUUUUUUGAUCAAGUAUCUUAAAGUUUUUAAUAAUUUUAAAAAUUUUGUUUUUUUAUUAUGAGAGUAUUUUCUCUAUUGGAGAUACAAAUCUUAGCCUGGCUUUAAGUCUUUUAUUAGAUAUAUGUUUUUUAAACAUGUGUCGUUUUGUGGCUUUUUUCCUCCUCCUGUGUGUGUGUGUGUGUGUGUGUGUGUGUGUGUGUGUGUGUGUGUGAGAGAGAGAGAGAGAGAGAGAGAGAGAGAGAGAGAGAGAGAGGAUCUUACUCUCCAUUUCAGGCUGUAGCCUAGGCUGAUUUCAAACUUGCAAUGAUCCUCUGCCUCAGCCUCCUGAGGGGACUAGAGACGUGUGCCACCAUACUUGGCUUUUUCCCCCAUUCUUCACCAUGUAUUUUAAUCAACAGAAAAAUUUCCAGGCACUGUGGUGCACCCCUGUAAUCUUAGCUACUGAGGGAGGAGGAAGGCAAAUUUGAGGUCAGCCAGGGCAAAUUAGUGAGACCUUCUUCAAAUAGGACAUGUAAUAUAGGGAUGAUAUAUGGACCUUCAAAUAAUAUAAGGAAACAUUAUAAUUUAGUUUACUAGAUGUUUGAAAUGCCAAGUUUGUGUUCUGUAAAAUCAAGGAGUGAAUUUGAGGAACUACAGAAUUUAAGAGUAGGAACAGUUUAUUGAGAGAAAUACACCUUCUGUCUAAAGGAGACAGAGAAGGGCCCAGAAAGUGGGUUGCCUGCCAACCCCACUGUUACUGUUUGUGUCUAGAUGUUCCUCCAAAGCCUCAUGCAAUCAUAGUGGGUGGACUUUUCAGGGAUGGCUGAAUCUAGAGUUUGUGAUUGGUUCAUUGUCUAGUGCUAAGAUUCGAGGCAUGAGUGCUAUACCCACUCUAGGGCAUACAAUAUAAGAGAGGAGAAGAGGCUAGCUUCUCCCCUUUUGCACUAGUUGCUUUUGCUGUCUUUGCUACCACCAUGAACUGUUGCCCCUGUACCAUGCCACUCUGCCUUGUAGCCAGCUGAUUAUGGACUGAAACCUCUGUAAACUGAGCUGAAUAAAUCUUUCCCUCUUGAA